rnacentral:lncRNA from 1 species
CCAGCAGCAAUGAGCUCACGGGCAUAAGGGCAGAGCUGGGUGGUGACAGGAAAGGAAUGGCAAGUGUUCACUGGAGACCUGGAGGUCUGGGGCUUUCACAUGAGCUCAUGCGAUAAGACGCUCCCCAGGCCUGGCCAGGCCAGGAGCCCUCAGGCAGCUGUGUCCUGCAGGAGGAGCCCCUGCUGCUGGCCCUGCUCGGCCUCUGCCCGUCGUACACCUGCUCUCACUUGCUUGGGAAUCUCGGCUGAGAGCUAAGCAUCCAGCCCAGAGAGGACCUGGGCAACGUCGAGCUUAUUUGGGUGGAAAGAUGAACGUUCAUUUAAAAAUCAGUCCUUUUUGGAGUCCCCGUCAUGGCUCAGUGGUUAACGAAUCCGACUAGGAACCAUGAGGUUGCAGGUUCGAUCCCUGGCCUUGCUCAGUGGGUUACGGAUCCGGCGUUGCCGUGAGCUGUGGUGUAGGUUGCAGAUGGGGCUCGGAUCCUGAGUUGCUGUGGCUCUGGCUCUGGUGUAGGCUGGCAAUCACAGCUCCGAUUAGACCCCUAGCCUGGGAACCUCCAUAUGCCAUGGGAGUGGCCCUAGAAAAGGCAAAAAGACAAAAAAAAAAAAAAAAGCUUAAAAAAAAAAACAACCACCAGAAUAUUUACCCAACGAUACAGUGCAAGAUGAACAGAAAUGUCAAACUAACAGCAAAUGCAGAAAUACCUCCACCAAGAGCGCAUGACCUCCUCCUACUUUCCUACGCUUUCAUAUCCUCCGGCAAAUAGAAUCGACUGUGCACUUAAUAUCGUGUGAGCGAUUUUUUAAUGCCGUGUGCUUUCGUAGAACCUUUCCCAUAAAUCUAAGUAGUCUGCACUAGUAACAGUUUCCAGUCAGGAUGUGGGCUGGUUUUUACGUGUUGUGUGCUUACGGAUCCUACAGGUAAAAACAUCUCCCUACAGAUAGCGUUUUUCUCUUUUCUCCCUCCCUCUCUCCCUCCCUCCCUUUUUUCUUUCCCUCCUUCUCUUCCGCUCUUUUUCUCUUUCUUCCUUCCAUCAGAAGCGUUGCUGCUUGAAAGCUGUGACGACGUGAACACGCGGUGGUUUAGCAGCUCUGGAUCCUCUCUGGGCCGAUGGGGCCCGUUCUCCACGUGCUGGGGGAUGGCGACACGAAGGGUAUCUUCCUCCCUCAUCUGGACAGAAUGGUACAGACGGACUCUCUGGUCCUGUUUGACUUGCAUCCCCAAUCACUGCGGCCAAGAAAAAAAAAUGGUUUUUCAUGGAUUGGCCAAUUUUAGUUCCAGGGCCCAUCUCUGCAGUCAAGAGGCGGGGUGUGAUGUGGCAUGGACAGCCUAUAAAAUCGGAUUGUGAUGAUCAUGGAACAACUAUAAAUGUCGUAAAUUCAUUGAGUAAUUAAAAAAAAAAAAGAGGUGGAGUCUGGAAAUUGACAGCCCCAACAAAACCCUGCAAAAGGAGGGAAGAAAGAGUCUUCAAAGGAAAUUUGAUUACUAUCACCAAGAGGAGGAGGGAAAGGGG